UACGUAGGGUGCAAGCGUUGUCCGGAAUUAUUGGGCGUAAAGAGCUUGUAGGCGGUUUGUCGCGUCUGCUGUGAAAUUUCGGGGCUCAACCCCGAACUUGCAGUGGGUACGGGCAGACUAGAGUGUGGUAGGGGAGACUGGAAUUCCUGGUGUAGCGGUGAAAUGCGCAGAUAUCAGGAGGAACACCGAUGGCGAAGGCAGGUCUCUGGGCCAUAACUGACGUGAGGCACGAAGGCCAGGGGAGCAAACGGG
rnacentral:rRNA from 1 species